ensembl:lncRNA
GUUUUAUUCUCCUUUCCAACAAACCAACUCGGGGAAGUGUUAGACUUCAACAAUAGGUAAAACAUAUGGAAUUUACCAUGACCUUUGAGGAGAAAAGGUGUGUUGGGAAGCACUGCCAAAGGCUGAUUAUUUGCAUUUGACGCGGUCACAUCAACUCCGUCCAUACAGGACGUGUGAAUGAUUUUGAGGUGAGGGGACUGACAAGGCUGAAGGUAAAGUGGUCCACCGUUAUAUCAAUAAGGCUCAAAUAAAACCUGAAGGCAAGGAGAUGUAUUCAACAAAAUCAACAGGCUGGGAUUCGCCAUAUGCAUUCUCUGCUACAAAGAUAUCAAUUAUGCUAACAAAGGCAGCCAUGCUCUGCAGGCUCAUUGUCAGACGGAAGUUCACAAGAAGGUGCAGAUGAUAGCUUCCACUCAUAGUGUUGCCAGCACCUUCCUUCCAGCAUUAGCUAGCCAGAAUCCAGCAAACCAGAGUCAAGCAAGCCAGGGUCUAGAAACAAUCAGGCAGCAGUGCCAGGGAAAGAUCCCCAUACCAGUUAUAAACCGCAUAGCAAAUGCAGAGGUAGGUGGUGUAGGCCUGUUAGUCAGCACAGGGAGCAUAGACAGAGUACACUAGCACUUUGAGAUUUUUUUUUCAAUGUAAAGUGCACUACAAAUAAAAUGUAGUAUUAUUAUUCACAGUCAGCUCCAGUCAGCAUAAUCACCUAAACAUUGAAUACACUAGCUGUACAUUAAUGACAUAAUUUGUGUUCUAGGCAAUGACCCUUGGAACCUUGGCAGAGCAUUCCAUCCCGUUUUUCUAAGGCUCCUGUAAUUGUUGAGCUUGCCCAGACCCUUUCCUUGGAUGAACCAGCUUUGCAGGGAAUCAAGCUGUCGCGGACGGCAGCUUCAUACAAGAUGAUCCAUGGUCUAAGGCGGACUUACUCUGAGAGGACCUUUUCCAACAUGAAGAGAUUUCCCUUUUCGUUAUAUUUAGACGAGAGUACUAAAUAGGUCGUUUCCAUGCUCGUUUGCUACUAUCAUGCAGACUUGAGGAAGGUGAUAGUGGAGCAUUUUGGGUCCUUGGAGAUCAUGAAGCAAGACCGGCCUCAAAACCAGGAUGCACCAAUACUGUCCCAACCUGCUCGAUGUUGAUGGGGACUCCUGUCAUCACAUACACAAUGCGGCAAAGAAGUUCUCAGAGCCCUUUGACAGCUACUUGGAGAAACUGUUCAGUGAUCUCCAGGUUGACCAUCAGUGGAGUCCAGACCAGGUGAGGUACCUCAAGGAGAUGGCUAUGAU